rnacentral:rRNA from 1 species
UAAAAGUCGUAACAAGGUUUCCGUAGGUGAACCUGCGGAAGGAUCAUUAGUGAAUAUAGGACGUCCAACUUAACUUGGAGUCCGACCUCUCACUUUCUAACCCUGUGCAUUUGUUUGGGAUAGUAACUCUCGCAAGAGGGCGGACUCCUAUUCACUUAUAAAACACAAAGUCUAUGAAUGUAUUAAAUUUUAUAACAAAAUAAAACUUUCAACAACGGAUCUCUUGGCUCUCGCAUCGAUGAAGAACGCAGCGAAAUACGAUAAGUAAUGUGAAUUGCAGAAUUCAGUGAAUCAUCGAAUCUUUGAACGCACCUUGCGCUCCAUGGUAUUCCGUGGAGCAUGCCUGUUUGAGUGUCAUGAAUACUUCAACCCUCCUCUUUCUUAAUGAUUGAAGAGGUGUUUGGUUUCUGAGCGCUGCUGGCCUUUACGGUCUAGCUCGUUCGUAAUGCAUUAGCAUCCGCAAUCGAACUUCGGAUUGACUUGGCGUAAUAGACUAUUCGCUGAGGAAUUCUAGUCUUUGGACUAGAGCCGGGUUGGGUUAAAGGAAGCUUCUAAUCAGAAUGUCUACAUUUUAAGAUUAGAUCUCAAAUCAGGUAGGACUACCCGCUGAACUUAAGCAUAUCAAUAAGCGGAGGA